AAGAAUGCAAAGGAGACAGGAGUCCUCUCCCACUUCUGGCACAUGUCACAACUACUUCUCCCACUAUGUCACAACUACACCCUGAUUCACUGUGUGACCUUCCCCUUUUGGCCUCUGGAUUCUCAUUUCCACAACCAGCAAAUGUGCUUGGAUCACCUCUGAGAUUUUUCACAGCACCAGACUCCAAAGCCUUUGAACUCUCCAAGGCCUGAUAUCUGGAGCCACCAUUUCCCAAGCUUAUCUGAAGAAGGGUGCUACAAUUCAUAAGCAUCAGAUGCCCAGGAUAAAGACCAUUCGCUUUUAUGCUUUGUCAUCUUCAUUUUAGAGAUGGGCAACCGAGGAACAGAGAGGUUCAGUCACAUGCAUCUGAGGACAACAGGUCCCUGAGCUCUGCAUGAUGAACAAAUGAGCAAAGGAGGAACACACACAGAUUGUCUCCCACACACACUCACACGUUCAUUUGCACAGACCGUGGGGAAUGGAACACGAG